ACAUGCCGCCCAGUUUCAGGUGCCCCAAGUCGCCGCGCUUGGGGUGAAACGGGAAACCGGUACGCGCUUAGCGCCAGUCCGGUGCUGCCCCCGCAACGGUAUGCGAGUGAUGCCCUCAAUCAGACCACUGUGGCCAGCCGGCCAUGGGAAGGCGAGGGCAUCCAGCCUCGCGAGCCCGGAGACCGGCCUGGAAUCUUUUGGCGAC
rnacentral:ncRNA from 2 species